rnacentral:ncRNA from 2 species
CCCUUAUUAAGAGCGGUGGAGAUACAUAGGAUCUAUGAAACCCGGCAACCCCUUUUGAGGAAGGUGCCAACCUGAGCGAUAUUAGUCGAACAAUAAGAG